GAGUAGCUGGGACUACAGGCAUCCGCCACCACACCCAGCUAAUUUUUUGUAUUUUUUUUAGUAGAGACGGGGUUUCACUGUGUUAGCCAGGAUGGUCUCGAUCCCCUGACCUUGUGAUCCACCCAAGGCCUCGGCCUCCCAAAGUGCUGGGAUUACAGGCAUGAGCCACCGUGCCCGGUCAAUUUUUAUAUUUUUUGUAGAGACAGGGUUUCACCAUGUUGGCCAGGCUGGUGUCGAACUCCCGACCUCAGGUGAUUGUCGGCCUUGGCCUCCCAAAGUGCUGGGAUUACAGGCGUGAGCCACCGCGCCCAGCCGGUGGGCAGCCAGUUGUGUUCCGGGAGGAGGAGGACACCCUGGAAAGACAGUGGGGCCAGACACUGAACUGCCUUUGGAAGCAAGUAGGAGCAACAGCGAAGGUUUGCUGGCUCAGGUAGGAGGAUUAAUUGGAACGAUUAAGCUGGAAGCUCUGUAAGACGGAUUAGAGGGGCAAACUUGGAGGCAGGAAGGCUGGGAGGAGACCACUGCUGAGUGAUUUUUCUUCCCCCACAGGUUCCCAGUCCCUGAUUUCUGGCCACUCCGCCUUUCUGUGAGUCAUUUUGUUUUUGUUUUUCAGAAGCAAGGUCUCGCUGUGUUACCCUGGCUGGAGUGCAGUGGCUACUUACAGGCAUGAUCAUAGCAUACUGCAGCCUCGAACUCCUGGACUAGAGCAGUUCUCCUGCCUCAGCCUCCAGAGCAGCUGGGACUGCAGACACGCACCACAGAGCCCAGCCUGAGUCAUUUUGAUUCUGUAACUGGCUUCCUCUCGGCGGGCAGGCUCACACCCUCCACCCCCAGCUGGAGAUGGAAGGAGGAUGCUCACCGCCCAUUCCUCAUGCAGGCCAUCGAUGGAAAUGUCAGACAGUGCGAGUCCACGCCUGAACACUUCUGGGGUCCGCUCUGGGACUGACACUGGCAGAUCCAUCGAUGCCGUUCCAUUGUUUGCUGACUUUCAUUGAUUCUAUGAGAAGUCUGCAGUCUUUUGCAGCGUUGUUUUCCUAUGUAUAAUUGUCUCCUCCCACCCCACUCACCCCAGCUGCUUUCCACAUUCUCUCUCUUUGAUUUUCAGCAGUCUGCCCAUGAUGUGCCUAAAUAGGACUUUCUUUGCAUUCAUCUUGGCUGGGGCUCACUGAACUUUCUGAAUCUGUAGAUUAAUUUUCUUUUUUCAAUAAACCUUGGAAUAUUUUCAGC
rnacentral:lncRNA from 1 species